rnacentral:snRNA from 1 species
GUGCUCGCUUUGGCAGCAUAUGUACUAAAAUUGGAACGAUACAAAGAUUAGCAUGGCCCCUGCGCAAGGAUGGCACGCAAAUUUGUGAAGCAUUCCAUAUUUAA